CUUCACGGCCCUAGAGGAAGCGGUCUCCUCUGCUCGUGGGUGCACUCCGACACCCUCUUCCACCAAGGCCAAGGAUUUAUCGGUGAACAUUCCUAAGACCAAGAAGACCUACUGCAAGAACAAUGAGUGCUGGAAGCACACUCUGCACAAGGUGACUCAAUGCAAGAAGGGUGACGAUAGCCUAUCAGCACAAGCCUGGAAGCAGUUGGCCUACAUUGAGCUGAGAGGAAAGGAAGUAGCUAGAAGGUGGAUACUCUAUGUAAUUACUUACUAUGAAGUGUAAUGUGAUGUGUGAACUAAUCUGUGUACUUGAAGUGUGAACUAUCUGUACUGCUGUGAAAUGUACCAUGAAAC